UACGAAGGGGGCUAGCGUUGCUCGGAAUCACUGGGCGUAAAGGGCGCGUAGGCGGCCGAUUAAGUCGGGGGUGAAAGCCUGUGGCUCAACCACAGAAUUGCCUUCGAUACUGGUUGGCUUGAGACCGGAAGAGGACAGCGGAACUGCGAGUGUAGAGGUGAAAUUCGUAGAUAUUCGCAAGAACACCAGUGGCGAAGGCGGCUCACUGGCCCAUUACUGACGCUGAGGCACGAAAGCGUGGGGAGCAAACAGG
rnacentral:rRNA from 1 species